ACUGACAGCUUUAAUUUCGAAAACUCGCUGCUUCUGGGGGAAUUUCGGAGUCUAAAAGUCUGAAAAUCGGCUCAGUUCUGCUUUGAGUGUCAUGAAAAUGUCUUCCUGUCUUUUUGAUUUGGCACACAACUAGACA